rnacentral:rRNA from 1 species
GACGAACGCUGGCGGCGUGCUUAACACAUGCAAGUCGAACGGAAAGGCCUUUUCGGAGGUACUCGAGUGGCGAACGGGUGAGUAACACGUGGGUGAUCUGCCCUGCACUCUGGGAUAAGCCUGGGAAACUGGGUCUAAUACCGGAUAGGACCGCACUUUAGUGUGUGGGGUGGAAAGGUUUUUCGGUGUAGGAUGAGCCCGCGGCCUAUCAGCUUGUUGGUGGGGUAAUGGCCUACCAAGGCGGCGACGGGGAGCCGGACUGGGAGGUUGGUCGGCCACAUUGGGGCUGGGGUACGGCCCAGACUCCUACGGGGGGCAGGCGUGGGGAAUUUUGCACCAUGGGCGCAAGCCUGAUGCAGCGACGCCGCGUGGGGGAUGACGGCCUUCGGGUUGUAAACCCCUUUCGCCAGGGACGAAGCGUUUUGUGACGGUACCUGGAGAAGAAGCACCGGCUAACUACGUG